rnacentral:rRNA from 1 species
GAUGAACGCUGGCGGCGUGCCUAAUACAUGCGAGUCGAGCGAACAGACGAGGAGCUUGCUCCUCUGACGUUAGCGGCGGACGGGUGAGUAACACGUGGAUAACCUACCUAUAAGACUGGGAUAACUUCGGGAAACCGGAGCUAAUACCGGAUAAUAUAUUAAACCGCAUGGUUCAAUAGUGAAAGACGGUUUUGCUGUCACUUAUAGAUGGAUCCGCGCCGCAUUAGCUAGUUGGUAAGGUAACGGCUUACCAAGGCGACGAUGCGUAGCCGACCUGAGAGGGGGAUCGGCCACACUGGAACUGAAACACGGUCCAGACUCCUACGGGAGGCAGCAGUAGGGAAUCUUCCGCAAUGGGCGAAAGCCUGACGGAGCAACGCCGCGUGAGUGAUGAAGGUCUUCGGAUCGUAAAACUCUGUUAUUAGGGAAGAACAAAUGUGUAAGUAACUAUGCACGUCUUGACGGUACCUAAUCAGAAAGCCACGGCUAACUACGUG